CCCCUAUCUGUUUCCCUGUCUCUCCUCCUCUCAGCUCUAGACCCCUUGUUUCCGCUGUCUCUCCUCCUCUCAGCUCUAGACCCCUUCCACCCCUAUCUGUUUCCCCUGUCUCUCCUCCUCUCAGCUCUAGACCCCUUCCACCCCUAUCUGUUUCCUCUCUCUCCUCCUCCUCUCAGCUCUAGAACCCUUCCAUCCCCUGUCUCUCCUCCCCCUCUCAGCUCUAGACCCCUUCCACCCCGGGGUCUAUGUGGCUGGCUGGGGGAGCAUGCCUCCCUCUAGUUUGUCCCCUCACCAGGCGACCCUCUCUGCCCAGGCCUCCCUCUCUGCCCAGGCCACAGGCCUGCCUGCCCCCACCACAGGCCUGCCUGCCUGCCCCCAGGGGACCCUCCAACCCCCAGGCAACAUGGGACAGGCCUGCUUUAGUCCCCUGCCAGAUGCCUAUUGUGUGACUGGGACACUGGGCCUGGUCUGCUGGCCUGUUUUGACUGGCUGGCUUGCUGGCAGAUGGCUAACGUUACUGGAAGAAGUCUCAAGUGGGCUGGCUGCAAGACACAUACAGGCCAACCCAAGGCCCCUGACAGAGAGGGCACACUGGGUCUGUCGUGGGGGACUUGAGGACUUGGGGGGGAGAAGCAUCAAGCCACUGCUUUGUUGAGGCUUCUUUGUCGUUGUCCUUUUGGGAGGGGUUUAAUAUCCUCGCUUGUGUUACCUUCUGUGUUAAUAUUAUCAUUGUUAUUUCUUUUAAAUCAGGUUUAUAUAUGUAUGAUUAUGGAAUAUUUUAGGGCUGAUCUGUUGCACAGGUUUGAUUUGUUUUAAAUGGUUUUAAGGCGAUUAUUUGCUUUAAAAAUAUUCAAAAAUAACAAAUACAUUUUGACAGUGGUAUUGUGUACUAGCAUUAAAGGAUCCUCUAGCAUUAAAGGAUCCUCUAGCAUUAAAGGAUCCUCUAGCAUUAAAGGAUCCUCUAGCAUUAAAGGUUUGAGGUGUUGGUUGACUAGACUGAGGGGAGGUUUGAGGAGUUGGUUGACUAGACUAAGAGGGAAGGUUUGAGGAGUUGGUUGACUAGACUAAGAGGGACGGUUUGAGGAGUUGGUUGACUAGACUAAGAGGGAAGGUUUGAGGAGUUGGUUGACUAGACUAAGAGGGAAGGUUUGAGGAGUUGGUUGACUAGACUAAGAGGGAAGGUUUGAGGAGUUGGUUGACUAGACUAAGAGGGAAGGUUUGAGGAGUUGGUUGACCUGACGAAGAGGGAAGGUUUGAGGAGUUGGUUGACUAGACUAAGAGGGAAGGUUUGAGGAGUUGGUUGACUAGACUAAGAGGGAAGGUUUGAGGUGUUGGUUGACCUGACGAAGAGGGAAGGUUUGAGGAGUUGGUUGACUAGACUAAGAGGGAAGGUUUGAGGAGUUGGUUGACUAGACUAAGAGGGAAGGUUUGAGGAGUUGGUUGACUAGACUAAGAGGGAAGGUUUGAGGAGUUGGUUGACUAGACUAAGAGGGAAGGUUUGAGGAGUUGGUUGACCUGACGAAGAGGGAAGGUUUGAGGUGUUGGUUGACUAGACUAAGAGGGAAGGUUUGAGGAGUUGGUUGACUAGACUAAGAGGGAAGGUUUGAGGAGUUGGUUGACCUGACGAAGAGGGAAGGUUUGAGGUGUUGGUUGACUAGACUGAGGGGAGGUUUGAGGUGUUGGUUGACCUGACGAAGAGGGAAGGUUUGGCUAGAAGGAAGAAUCAUAGACGUGGUCGGUUUGAAGUCAGUCAGAAGAGUGGCCUUGUCAUCUAUAAUAAUACAUUUAUGGAGUUGCGUCCUGUUUUAAAAAUGAAGGCUGGGAGGUAGAGAGUGCUUGUUGAGACGGAGUGGCCGAAUUUGAGUUUAUUAUUUCUUGCAAAAUGAAAUGUAGCUCCUUUAAGAGGAGGAAGAAACAAGCAUGAUAAAAUCCUUCUUCAAAUGGUCUCCUGUUCACGCAGCCAUUUUGCAAGUCUUUAUAUCUGUAUAAUGAUGAAAUCUUUUAAUCUGUGUUAUUUUACAGAUUAUUUUUAUGAUAUAAUGUAGGUUGCUAGUAUGUGAUUCGCAUUAUUCUGGCUUCUGCAAAUGUGUUUACCACGAUAUUGACGUUUACCAACCCACUCAUCAUUCUAUCGUUUGAUGGGUUGUAUGUAAUCCACUGUACAGUAAUGGCCCGUAUUUAAGAAAACAGAACGAGUGCUCUGCGGGAAUGGUACAAACAGAGACUAUGGCUACAUCCUAUUUAGCUAUAGGGUUGUGUGGAUAGGAAGGUGGCCUUUCUAUGUCUUCUUACUAUGGCUUCAGGUCAUGUUGAAUGAACUGCUCUGUCUGGGACAGUCUGUCAGUCCUAUGACUACUAGUGUUACUUGCUCCUGAUUUCCCAUUGAAUUGAAUCUCUCUGGGAAGUUUUGUGUUAUUUUUUUUUCCUGUCUUGCAUCAAGAAUCCAAAUCUUUAAGUUUAGUCACACACCCAAGUCACUAGGAGGGUCUUGAAUUGAAACAUAUAUAUAUAUAUAUAUAUAUGAGUUGGGAGAUCUAUACAAACCCAUCCGUCUAAGUGUGCGCAUGCCUAUGAGCUGAUUUUAUUUAUUUUAUUUGAGGUUUUUAUUUAAAAUGUUCAUUUAGUUUUUAUUUUAUCAAUGGGUUUUGAUUUUAAGUGACUGAAUCCAUUGUGAUACCGAUGAUCUCUUGCCUGGUAAGUGUGGUAUUACUGUGAUAUUUUAGAUUGAAAGCUAUGCUGUAGUGCUAUUGGCCGAUUCUGGUUCCAUAUGCAAUGUAGUGACUCAUUGAAACACAAUGGGGUCCUUCCUCAUCUGUGACACUGGGCCUCCCGGCGCCCUCCGACACUUGACCUUUAGGUCACGUGACGUACCCGACUAUUGAAUGCAAUGCACCUCCAUUUGCAUGUCAUUGACAUUGGAAGGAGGGAGACAGAAUGAGAUGGGAGGUGUUGGCGUGGUUACUCAAGCGAGGCAAGCUAGUCUCCCUGCCAGAGGGUGAUGAUGAGCUGUAGAAUUUGUGGUUGGUCGUCAAUUCGUUUUUUGGUUUUUUUUUUAUUAAGCAAUUGAAAAAAUAAACUAACUGAAAAGAGAAGUGGAAAAA
ensembl:lncRNA